rnacentral:rRNA from 1 species
CCUACGGGCGGCAGCAGUGGGGGAUAUUGCACAAUGGGGGGAACCCUGAUGCAGCGACGCCGCGUGGGUGAAGGAGCGCUUCGGCGCGUAAAGCCCUAUCGGCAGGGAAGAAGAUGACGGUACCUGACCAAGAAGCCCCGGCUAACUACGGCCCAGCAGCCGCCGUAAUACGGAGGGGGCCAGCGUUAUCCGGAUUUACUGGGUGUAAAGGGGGUACAGACGGCAAUGCAAGCCAGAAGUGAAAGCCCGGGGACCAACCCCGGGACUGCACUUGAAACUGGAGGGCUGGAGUACAGGAGGGGCAGGCGGAAUUCCUGGUGUAGCGGUGAAAUGCGUAGAUAUUAGGAGGAACACCGGUGGCGAAGGCGGCCUGCUGGACUGUGACUGACGUUGAGGCCCGAAGGCGUGGGGAGCAAACAGGAUUAGAUACCCGAGUAGUC